rnacentral:rRNA from 1 species
AUUGAACGCUGGCGGCAUGCCUUACACAUGCAAGUCGAACGGCAGCAUGGAGAGCUUGCUCUCUGAUGGCGAGUGGCGAACGGGUGAGUAAUACAUCGGAACGUACCUUAUCGUGGGGGAUAACGCAGCGAAAGCUGUGCUAAUACCGCAUACGCCCUGAGGGGGAAAGCGGGGGAUCGCAAGACCUCGCGCGAUUAGAGCGGCCUAUGCCUGGUUAGCUAGUUGGUGGGGUAAAAGCCCACCAAGGCGACGAGCAGUAGCUGGUCUGAGAGGAAGAUCAGCCACACUAGGACGUAGACACGGCCCAGACUCCUACGGGAGGCAGCAGUGGGGAAUUUUGGACAAUGGGGGCAACCCUGAUCCAGCAAUGCCGCGUGAGUGAAGAAGGCCUUCGGGUUGUACAGCUCUUUUGUCAGGGAAGAAACACCGGCUCUAACACAGUCCGGGAAUGACGGUACCUGAAGAAUAAGCACCGGCUAACUACGUGCCAGCAGCCGCAGUAA